AUGGCGCAGAAGCGGCCGCUGGAGGCCGCCCCGCCGGAGCAGGAGGCGCCGCGGUCCCCGAGGAAGCGGCUGCGCCGGACGGUGCUCGUCAUGAUGUGGCUGGAGAGGAGGAGGGCGAGCGCGGUCACCGUCGGCCAGAUGGCGCAGAUGGUUCGCCAGGCGCAACUGGAUAUGGCCAAACUGUUUAUGCUGCUCAUGGUGCUCGUCGCGCGGCUUGGCUCCAUGGAGAGGCUUCUCCUCGGGCUCCCCAACCUGCUCCAGAGGAUGUUGGAAGAGCAGUUUCAUGCUCUUCACAGAUCUUUGAUGGUAUCCAUGCAAGAUACGAUUCGAUCAACUGUACAGACAGAGGUACAAGGAAGACAAGCAGCUUCACUUCCUAAUGGCAUUGAUGAACCUCCUAGGCAGAUAUCAGAUGGUUUUCCUGAAACUGGAGGCAUCACUGGAGUCAAGCUGCGCUUUGUCGAUGUUGACAGACCAAUAUAUACACUUUUCACUGGAUGUUCAGUACAAUGGCAGAAUGGAGGAAACGCUAAGGUAGCCAUAUUUGAAAAUGAUAGGCAAAUCAUGCAGGGAGACCUUUCUAAAUUGCAAAUUGAGAUUUUAGCAGUCCAUGCUGAUUUCUUUACUGAGCAAGGGCAAGCGGACUUCACCAAAGAGGAGUUCAACAAGCAGAUAUAUAUGCAUAAAGGGAAAGAGUUAGUGUUGUCAACUGUUAGUCUAACAAAUGGCGAGUCCUCUCUUGGUUCCUUCGUUUUUCCAGAGAGCUCCCAUGGGAAAAAGUUAAGAUUGACAGCACGAGUGAAAAGGCAGGUUCUUACUACCAGAGUUCAGGAAGCAAUCACUGAUCCUUUUGUCGUCAAAGACCGCCGAAGUGAAUUAAAUAAAAAGAGUUAUCCUCCGUCUAAAGAAGAAGCGGUACAUUGUUUGGAGAAAAUUUCUCUAAAGGGAAAACAUUGUGCUAUCCUUGUUGAGAAAAAUAUCACUACAGUGAAGCACUUGAUGCGUCAGUAUCACAGGGAUGAAUCUGUUCUCCAAAAGCUUACUGGCAUGAAAAAAGGGGAUUGGAAUACCAUGAUUAAACAUGCCAACACGUCUGUUCCUGGGGAUGAGAUCUAUUCCUAUUGGGUUCCAGAGGAUAAUUGUGAAAUCUUAUUCAAUGAUUUCUAUGAUCUUGUCGGUAAGAUGACUGAUAACUAUGUUCCUUACAGUGUCAACAACGUCAAUCAGUUUCCACAGCAUAAAGUGAACAAUUGGAAAAAAUCCGCGUAUAAGAAGUUUGACGAGCGGGAGAGCUCAGGUGGUCUUACCCCUGAUUACUUCAUGAACGAUGGCCGCCCUGUCCGUGCAAUGCAUCUGAACAAUGAUGCAGGUCCUUCUGUACAAGCUAGAACAACAUGGCAAUAUCCUAAUAGCAUGGCCGCACAACAUGAAUUUGGUGAUCGACGCCCAUUGAAUGGGUUCUCACGGGCCGCAGUCCUGUCAAACAAUGAUGCCGGUCCUUCAAACCAAGAAACACUGCCGUUUUCACAGCCCACUUAUGGACAGACUGUGCAUCAAGGAACUCCUUACUAUCUGGCCCAGGGAAAUUUCAUAAAUGAUCAGGGACAGGGAUCAUUUUCAGCAGAGCCAACUAUUCCGUCCCACAUUCCUGUACCAGUUCCAGAGGAUGACCCAAUCACAUUCACAGCUGCAAGUCUAACUGGCCAACAGAAUGGACACUUCAGCUUCUCGACAACUGUUGCUCCUGUUACUUCUUAUCCUGUAGCAGGUGUCGCUGGGACUUCCUCAGAUGGAGUUAGUCUGGGAACCUCGUCAGUUAACAAUGUGCAGGCUGACAUCUUCAGUGGGUUAAGUCCAUUUGAAUCAGAGGAAUUGCUAGAACUACAAGCACAUCUGACAGAGCAGGACUUCGUGCAAGCUAACAUCGCAGAACUGCCAAAUUCCGACAGCCAAUUUUACGGUUAUGAACAUGAUGGCGGCGACCACUGA
rnacentral:rRNA from 1 species